rnacentral:rRNA from 1 species
AACGAACGCUGGCGGCAUGCCUAACACAUGCAAGUCGAACGAGACCUUCGGGUCUAGUGGCGCACGGGUGCGUAACGCGUGGGAACCUGCCCUUAGGUUCGGAAUAACUCCCCGAAAGGGGUGCUAAUACCGGAUAAUGUCUUCGGACCAAAGAUUUAUCGCCUUUGGAUGGGCCCGCGUUGGACUAGCUAGUUGGUAGGGUAAAAGCCUACCAAGGCGACGAUCCAUAGCUGGUCUGAGAGGAUGAUCAGCCACACUGGGACUGAGACACGGCCCAGACUCCUACGGGAGGCAGCAGUGGGGAAUAUUGGACAAUGGGCGAAAGCCUGAUCCAGCAAUGCCGCGUGAGUGAUGAAGGCCUUAGGGUUGUAAAGCUCUUUUACCCGGGAUGAUAAUGACAGUACCGGGAGAAUAAGCUCCGGCUAACUCCGUG